GACGAACGCUGGCGGCGUGCCUAACACAUGCAAGUCGAGCGAGUGGAUCUCCUUCGGGAGAGAAGCUAGCGGCGGACGGGUGAGUAACACGUGGGCAACCUGCCUCAUAGAGGGGAAUAGCCUCCCGAAAGGGAGAUUAAUACCGCAUAAGAUUGUAGCUUCGCAUGAAGUAGCAAUUAAAGGAGCAAUCCGCUAGGAGAUGGGCCCGCGGCGCAUGAGCUAGUGGGUGAGGUAACGGCUCACCAAGGCGACGAUGCGUAGCCGACCUGAGAGGGUGAUCGGCCACAUUGGGACUGAGACACGGCCCAGACUCCUACGGGAGGCAGCAGUGGGGAAUAUUGCACAAUGGGGGAAACCCUGAUGCAGCAACGCCGCGUGAGUGAUGACGGCCUUCGAGUUGUAAAGCUCUGUCUUCAGGGACGAUAAUGACGGUACCUGAGGAGGAAGCCACGGCUAACUACGUGCCAGCCGCCGCCGUAAAAC
rnacentral:rRNA from 1 species